GGAGUUUGGGCCGUGUCUCAGUCCCAAUGUGGCCGGUCACCCUCUCAGGUCGGCUACUGAUCGUCGCCUUGGUGGGCCAUUACCCCGCCAACUAGCUAAUCAGACGCGGGUCCAUCCUAUACCACCGGAGUUUUUCACACUGUAAGAUGCCUUACUGUGCGCUUAUGCGGUAUUAGCAGCCGUUUCCAGCUGUUAUCCCCCUGUAUAGGGCAGGUUACCCACGCGUUACUCACCCGUCCGCCACUCAGUCAUAAAUCCGUCACCCCGAAGGGAUCGUGGAUAAAUGCUUCGUUCGACUUGCAUGUGUUAAGCACGCCGCCAGCGUUCAUC
rnacentral:rRNA from 1 species